rnacentral:rRNA from 1 species
GCAAGUCGAACGAAGCACUGUGGAAAGAGACUCGGUCAAUUGAAGCUUUGACUUAGUGGCGGACGGGUGAGUAAUGCAUGAGCAACCUGCCCUGGAGAGGGGGACAACAGCUGGAAACGGCUGCUAAUACCGCAUGAUGUCACCGGGAGGCAUCUCCUGGUGACCAAAGAUUUAUCGCUCUGGGAUGGGCUCAUGUCUGAUUAGAUAGUUGGCGGGGCAACGGCCCACCAAGUCUGCGAUCAGUAGCCGGACUGAGAGGUUGAACGGCCACAUUGGGACUGAGAUACGGCCCAGACUCCUACGGGAGGCAGCAGUGGGGAAUAUUGGGCAAUGGGCGCAAGCCUGAACCCCCAGCAACGCCGCGUGAAGGAAGAAGGCUUUCGGGUUGUAAACUUCUUUUAUCAGGGACGAAGGAUGUGACGGUACCUGAUGAAUAAGCCACGGCUAACUACGUGCCAGCAGCCGC